rnacentral:rRNA from 1 species
GACGAACGCUGGCGGCGUGCCUAAUACAUGCAAGUAGAACGCUGAAGGAGGAGCUUGCUUCUCUGGAUGAGUUGCGAACGGGUUUUUAACGCGUAGGUAACCUGCCUGGUAGCGGGGGAUAACUAUUGGAAACGAUAGCUAAUACCGCAUAAUAGUAGAUGUUGCAUGACAUUUGCUUAAAAGGUGCAAUUGCAUCACUACCAGAUGGACCUGCGUUGUAUUAGCUAGUUGGUGAGGUAACGGCUCACCAAGGCAACGAUACAUAGCCGACCUGAGAGGGUGAUCGGCCACACUGGGACUGAGACACGGCCCAGACUCCUACGGGAGGCAGCAGUAGGGAAUCUUCGGCAAUGGGGGGAACCCUGACCGAGCAACGCCGCGUGAGUGAAGAAGGUUUUCGGAUCGUAAAGCUCUGUUGUAAGAGAAGAGCGAGUGUGAGAGUGGAAAGUUCACACUGUGACG